rnacentral:sRNA from 1 species
CCGAGUGGAGGGCCUCCGGGCCCGACCUCCAACCCUUCUGUUAUCCGACCUCUGUUGCCUCGGGGGCGGCCCGGCCCUCGCGCCGGGGCCCCCCGCGGACCCCUCUGGAAACUCUUGCAUCUCUGCGUCUGAGUAUGAUUUUGAAUCAAUCAAAACUUUCAACAACGGAUCUCUUGGUUCCAGCAUCGAUGAAGAACGCAGCGAAAUGCGAUAAGUAAUGUGAAUUGCAGAAUUCAGUGAAUCAUCGAAUCUUUGAACGCACAUUGCGCCCCUCGGUAUUCCGGGGGGCAUGCCUGUUCGAGCGUCAUUAACACCACUCAAGCCUCGUCUUGGUAUUGGGCGUCCCGCGGGGUCACACCCGCGCGCCUCCAAAUCUCCGGCUGAGCCGUCCGUCUCUAAGCGUUGUGGAAACAGUUUCGCUUGCGAGUGCGGGUUGGUCCAUCGGCCGAUCGAAGCCUUUCUUUCUCAGGUUGACCUCGGAUCAGGUAGGGAUACCCGCUGAACUUAAGCAUA